CGCGGAGUGGAGCAGUCUGGUAGCUCGUUGGGCUCAUAACCCAAAGGCCGCAGGUUCAAAUCCUGCCUCCGCAA
rnacentral:tRNA from 1 species